rnacentral:rRNA from 1 species
GGGCGGCUGCUAAUACAUGCAAGUCGAGCGAAUGGAUUAAGAGCUUGCUCUUAUGAAGUUAGCGGCGGACGGGUGAGUAACACGUGGGUAACCUGCCCAUAAGACUGGGAUAACUCCGGGAAACCGGGGCUAAUACCGGAUAACAUUUUGAACCGCAUGGUUCGAAAUUGAAAGGCGGCUUCGGCUGUCACUUAUGGAUGGACCCGCGUCGCAUUAGCUAGUUGGUGAGGUAACGGCUCACCAAGGCAACGAUGCGUAGCCGACCUGAGAGGGUGAUCGGCCACACUGGGACUGAGACACGGCCCAGACUCCUACGGGAGGCAGCAGUAGGGAAUCUUCCGCAAUGGACGAAAGUCUGACGGAGCAACGCCGCGUGAGUGAUGAAGGCUUUCGGGUCGUAAAACUCUGUUGUUAGGGAAGAACAAGUGCUAGUUGAAUAAGCUGGCACCUUGACGGUACCUAACCAGAAAGCCACGGCUAACUACGUGCCAGCAGCCGCGAGUAAUACA